rnacentral:rRNA from 1 species
GACGAACGCUGGCGGCGUGCUUAACACAUGCAAGUCGAACGAAGAGCGAUGGAAGCUUGCUUCUAUCAAUCUUAGUGGCGAACGGGUGAGUAACGCGUAAUCAACCUGCCCUUCAGAGGGGGACAACAGUUGGAAACGACUGCUAAUACCGCAUACGAUCUAAUCUCGGCAUCGAGGAUAGAUGAAAGGUGGCCUCUACAUGUAAGCUAUCACUGAAGGAGGGGAUUGCGUCUGAUUAGCUAGUUGGAGGGGUAACGGCCCACCAAGGCGAUGAUCAGUAGCCGGUCUGAGAGGAUGAACGGCCACAUUGGGACUGAGACACGGCCCAGACUCCUACGGGAGGCAGCAGUGGGAAUCUUCCGCAAUGGACGAAAGUCUGACGGAGCAACGCCGCGUGAGUGAUGACGGCCUUCGGGUUGUAAAGCUCUGUUAAUCGGGACGAAAGGCCUUCUUGCGAAUAGUGAGAAGGAUUGACGGUACCGGAAUAGAAAGCCACGGCUAACUACGUG